ACGGGUGAGUAACACGUGAGUAACCUGCCCUUAACUCUGGGAUAAGCCUGGGAAACUGGGUCUAAUACCGGAUAGGAGCGUCCACCGCAUGGUGGGUGUUGGAAAGAUUUAUCGGUUUUGGAUGGACUCGCGGCCUAUCAGCUUGUUGGUGAGGUAAUGGCUCACCAAGGCGACGACGGGUAGCCGGCCUGAGAGGGUGACCGACCACACUGGGACUGAGACACGGCCCAGACUCCUACGGGAGGCAGCAGUGGGGAAUAUUGCACAAUGGGCGCAAGCCUGAUGCAGCGACGCCGCGUGAGGGAUGACGGCCUUCGGGUUGUAAACCUCUUUCAGUAGGGAAGAAGCGAAAGUGACGGUACCUGCAGAAGAAGCACCGGCUAACUACGUGCCAGCAGCCGCGGUAAUACGUAGGGUGCGAGCGUUAUCCGGAAUUAUUGGGCGUAAAGAGCUCGUAGGCGGUUUGUCGCGUCUGUCGUGAAAGUCCGGGGCUUAACCCCGGAUCUGCGGUGGGUACGGGCAGACUAGAGUGCAGUAGGGGAGACUGGAAUUCCUGGUGUAGCGGUG
rnacentral:rRNA from 1 species